rnacentral:rRNA from 1 species
ACCGGCUGCUCGAGUGAUGGCCACUAUUACUGGGUUUAAAGCGUCCGUAGCUUGGAUGUUAGGUCUCUUGGGAAAUCUUCCGGCUUAACCGGAAGGCGUCCAAGAGAUACCGGCAUUCUUGGAACUGGGAGAGGUAAGCCGUACUUCGGGGGUAGGAGUGAAAUCUUGUAAUCCUCGAGGGACGACCUAUGGCGAAGGCAGCUUACCAGAACAGCUUCGACAGUGAGGGACGAAAGCUGGGGGAGCAAACGG